rnacentral:sRNA from 1 species
CCCUAGCCCUGAUAGCAGUAAAAAUCCUUUAUAUCCGCCUUUUCGGCGGAUAUAAAGAUUGUAACGGAUAGCAGGAAAUAGC